UACGUAGGGGGCGAGCGUUGUCCGGAGUUACUGGGCGUAAAGCGCACGCAGGCGGUUUUGUACGUCUGGAGUGACAGUUCCCGGCUCAACUGGGAAAGGUCUUCGGAAACGGCGAGACUUGAGGGCUUCAGAGGGACACGGAAUUCCGGGUGGAGUGGUGAAAUGCGUAGAGAUCCGGAGGAACACCAAUGGCGAAGGCAGUGUCCUGGCUCGCAUCUGACGCUCAGACACGACAGCAUGGGGAGCGAACGGG
rnacentral:rRNA from 1 species